rnacentral:rRNA from 1 species
GACAGAGGGUGCAAACGUUGUUCGGAAUUACUGGGCGUAAAGCGCGUGUAGGCGGCUAUGCAAGUCGGAUGUGAAAGCCCUCGGCUCAACCGGGGAAGUGCACCCGAAACUGCAAAGCUAGAGUCUCGGAGAGGAUCGUGGAAUUCUCGGUGUAGAGGUGAAAUUCGUAGAUAUCGAGAGGAACACCGGUGGCGAAGGCGGCUCACUGGCCCGGUACUGACGCUGAGGUGCGAAAGCGUGGGGAGCAAACGG